CCAUCGGUGGUUCAGUGGUAGAAUGCUCUCCUGCCACGCGGUCGGCCCGGGUUCGAUUCCCGGCCUAUGCA
rnacentral:tRNA from 1 species